CCCGAAGCUUGCUUCGGGUGGAUGAGUGGCGAACGGGUGAGUAACACGUGAGUAACCUGCCCCUGAUUUCGGGAUAAGCCUGGGAAACCGGGUCUAAUACCGGAUACGACCAACCCUCGCAUGAGGGUUGGUGGAAAGUUUUUCGAUCAGGGAUGGGCUCGCGGCCUAUCAGCUUGUUGGUGGGGUAAUGGCCCACCAAGGCGACGACGGGUAGCCGGCCUGAGAGGGCGACCGGCCACACUGGGACUGAGACACGGCCCAGACUCCUACGGGAGGCAGCAGUGGGGAAUAUUGCACAAUGGGGGAAACCCUGAUGCAGCGACGCAGCGUGCGGGAUGACGGCCUUCGGGUUGUGAACCGCUUUCAGCAGGGAAGAAGCGAAAGUGACGGUACCUGCAGAAGAAGUACCGGCUAACUACGUGCCAGCAGCCGCGGUAAUACGUAGGGUACGAGCGUUGUCCGGAAUUAUUGGGCGUAAAGAGCUCGUAGGUGGUUGGUCACGUCUGCUGUGGAAACGCAACGCUUAACGUUGCGCGUGCAGUGGGGUACGGGCUGACUAGAGUGCAGUAGGGGAGUCUGGAAGUCCUGGUGUAGCGGUGAAAUGCGCAGAUAUCACGACGGAACACCGGUGGCGAAGCUGGCACUCUGGGCUGUAACUGACACUG
rnacentral:rRNA from 1 species